UUAGAGUUUGAUCAUGGCUCAGAAUCAACGCUGGCGGCGCGCUUAACACAUGCAAGUCGAACGAGAAAGGGGAGCAAUCCCUGAGUACAGUGGCGUACGGGUGAGUAACACGUGGAUCAUCUGCCCUUUUGUGGGGGAUAACUUUGGGAAACCGAAGCUAAUACCGCAUGAGCCCGAGAGGGGAAAGCAGCAAUGCGCAGAAGGAGGAGUCCGCGGCCGAUUAGUUAGUUGGCGGGGUAACGGCCCACCAAGACCGAGAUCGGUAGCCGGCCUGAGAGGGCACACGGCCACACUGGCACUGAAACACGGGCCAGACUCCUACGGGAGGCAGCAGUGGGGAAUCUUGCACAAUGGGGGCAACCCUGAUGCAGCGACGCCGCGUGAACGAUGAAGGCCUUCGGGUUGUAAAGUUCUUUCGGCAGGGAAGAUGAUGACGGUACCUGCAGAAGCAGCUGCGGCUAACUACGUGCCAGCAGCCGCGGUAAUACGUAGGCAGCAAGCGUUGUUCGGAGUUACUGGGCGUAAAGGGUGCGUAGGCGGUUUGCCAAGUUUGGUGUGAAAUCUCCCGGCUUAACUGGGAGGGUGCGCCGAAAACUGGCAGACUAGAGUGGGGGAGAGGAGAGUGGAAUUCCUGGUGUAGCGGUGAAAUGCGUAGAUAUCAGGAGGAACACCGGUGGUGUAGACGGCUCUCUGGACUCUAACUGACGCUGAGGCACGAAAGCGUGGGUAGCAAACAGGAUUAGAUACCCUGGUAGUCCACGCCCUAAACGAUGCACAUUUGGUGUGGGUCAUUCAGUUGAUCCGUGCCGGAGCUAACGCGUUAAAUGUGCCGUCUGGGGAGUACGGUCGCAAGGCUGAUACUCAAAGGAAUUG
rnacentral:rRNA from 1 species